rnacentral:rRNA from 1 species
CACGUAGGGCGCAAGCGUUGUCCGGAAUUAUUGGGCGUAAAGAGCUCGUAGGCGGUUUGUGACGUCUGCUGUGAAAACCUAGGGCUUAACCCUGGGCUUGCAGUGGAUACGGGCAGACUAGAGGUAGGUAGGGGAGAAUGGAAUUCCUGGUGUAGCGGUGAAAUGCGCAGAUAUCAGGAGGAACACCGGUGGCGAAGGCGGUUCUCUGGGCCUUACCUGACACUGAGGAGCGAAAGCGUGGGGAGCGAACAGG